AGCGCAGUGGUAGCGCGUCCCGCUUUGCAAGCGGAAGGCCCCGGGUUCAAUCCCCGG
rnacentral:tRNA from 1 species